rnacentral:misc_RNA from 1 species
UCAAACUUGGUCAUUUAGAGGAAGUAAAAGUCGUAACAAGGUCUCCGUUGGUGAACCAGCGGAGGGAUCAUUGCUGGACUCACACUCCCGUAACCACCGUGAACCUACCACUCGUUGCCUCGGCGGGUGCUCCGGCGCGCCCGGAGCGCUCCCCGCCGGCGGCCCCAGACUCUGCCUCGCGUGCUGGCAUCUCGAGCAGACGAAACGAAUCAAAACUUUCAACAACGGAUCUCUUGGUUCUGGCAUCGAUGAAGAACGCAGC